AUCCUUUUUUGGUUCAGAAGCAUGAUGAUUGGGAGUUAAGCCACUGUGUGAUGUGUGCCGCCCAUUAAACGUUGUUACAACGUUGGCACAUUUCCCAUCUGACA